rnacentral:rRNA from 1 species
GGGGUUGUGGGACCUUUCAGGAGGAUCUGCCGAUCCUCCAGGGAGUCAGAAAGUCGCGCCAUAGUCGAAGGGCAUUGAAAGGCCCGGCACAGAGGGUGCUACCCCCGUAGACGAAAUGACGUGACCUCCCGAAGGGUAUCCCAAGUAGCACGGGGCCCGUGAAAUCUCGUGUGAAUCUGGAGAGACCACUCUCUAAGCCUAAAUACUCCCUAGUGACCGAUAGCGGACAAGUACCGUGAGGGAAAGGUGAAAAGUACCCCUGGCGGGGAGUGAAAUAGUACCUGAAACCGUGUGCCUACAAUCCGUCGGAGCCUUGUGCCACUUGUUGGUGGGGGUGACGGCGUGCCUUUUGAAGAAUGAGCCUGCGAGUUUGCGGUGUGUUGCGAGGUUAACCCGUGUGGGGAAGCCGUAGCGAAAGCGAGUCCGAAUAGGGCGAUUCAGUAGCGCGCUCAAGACCCGAAGCUAAGUGAUCUAUCCAUGGGCAGGUUGAAGCGUCGGUAAGACGACGUGGAGGACCGAACCCACUUAGGUUGAAAACUGAGGGGAUGACCUGUGGAUAGGGGUGAAAGGCCAAUCAAACUUCGUGAUAGCUGGUUCUCCCCGAAAUGCAUUUAGGUGCAGCGUUGCGUGGUUCUUGUUGGAGGUAGAGCACUGGAUGGUCUAGGGGGCCUACAAGCUUACCGAAAUCAGCCAAACUCCGAAUGCCGGUAAGUGCGAGCGCGGCAGUGA